AGGCGUUCCUUCGGGGGCGCCGAGAGCGGCGAACGGCGGAGUAACACGUGAUAACCUGCCCCGAAGACUGGGAUAACCCGGGGAAACUCGGGCUAAUACCGGAUGUGGAUUCUUGGCUUCGGCUGAGGCAUCUAAAGGCGCAAGCCGCUUCGGGAGGGGCUCGCGGCCUUCAGGUAGUUGGUGAGGUAACGGCUCACCAAGCCUGCGACGGGUAGCCGGUCUGAGAGGCGGCCGGCCCGAGGGGCACUGAGACACGGGCCCCACUCCUACGGGAGGCAGCAGUCGGGAUUUUGGGCAAUGGGCGCAAGCCUGACCCAGCGACGCCGCGUGGAGGACGAAGCCCUUCGGGCGUAAACUCCUUUUAGUGGGGACGAACGCAGACGGUACCCACAGAAAAAGCCCCGGUAACUACGUGCCAGCAGCCGCGGUAAUACGUAGGGGGCGAGCGUUGCCCGAAUUUACUGGCGUAAAGCGCACGUAGGCGGCUCCGUAAGUCUGGUGUGAAAUCUCACGGCUCAACCGGAGGCUGCACCAGAUACUGCGGGGCUCGAGGGCGGGAGAGGAGAUUGGAAUUCCCGGUGUGCGGUGAAAUGCAUUGAUAUCGGGAGGAACACCAGUGGCGAAGGCGGAUCUCUGGCCCGUUCUGACGCUGAGGUGCGAAAGCUGGGGGAGCGAAAGGGAUUAGAUACCCCUGUAGUCCAGCCCUAAACGAUGGGCGCUAGGUGUUGGGGGAUACCCCUCAGCGCCGUAGCUAACGCAUAAGCGCCCCGCCUGGGGAGUACGGCCGCAAGGUUGAAACUCAAAUGAAUUGACGGGG
rnacentral:rRNA from 1 species